GACAGAGGGGGCAAGCGUUGCUCGGAAUUACUGGGCGUAAAGGGCGCGUAGGCGGGAUGGCAAGUCGGUCGUGAAAUCCCUCGGCUCAACCGAGGAACGUCGAUCGAUACUGCUGUUCUUGAGGAUUGCAGAGGAGACUGGAAUUCCCGGUGUAGCGGUGAAAUGUGUAGAGAUCGGGAGGAACACCGGUGGCGAAGGCGGGUCUCUGGGCAAUUCCUGACGCUGAGGCGCGAAAGCGUGGGGAGCAAACUGG
rnacentral:rRNA from 1 species